AGAGUUUGAUCCUGGCUCAGGAUGAACGCUGGCGGCGUGCUUAACACAUGCAAGUCGAACGAAGCAUUUAGAACAGAUUAUUUCGGUAUGAAGUUCUUUAUGACUGAGUGGCGGACGGGUGAGUAACGCGUGGGUAACCUGCCUUGUACUGGGGGAUAGCAGCUGGAAACGGCUGGUAAUACCGCAUAAGCGCACAAUGUUGCAUGACAUGGUGUGAAAAACUCCGGUGGUAUAAGAUGGACCCGCGUCUGAUUAGCUAGUUGGUGAGAUAACAGCCCACCAAGGCGACGAUCAGUAGCCGACCUGAGAGGGUGACCGGCCACAUUGGGACUGAGACACGGCCCAGACUCCUACGGGAGGCAGCAGUGGGGAAUAUUGCACAAUGGAGGAAACUCUGAUGCAGCGACGCCGCGUGAGUGAAGAAGUAAUUCGUUAUGUAAAGCUCUAUCAGCAGGGAAGAUAGUGACGGUACCUGACUAAGAAGCUCCGGCUAAAUACGUGCCAGCAGCCGCGGUAAUACGUAUGGAGCAAGCGUUAUCCGGAUUUACUGGGUGUAAAGGGAGUGUAGGUGGCCAUGCAAGUCAGAAGUGAAAAUCCGGGGCUCAACCCCGGAACUGCUUUUGAAACUGUAAGGCUGGAGUGCAGGAGGGGUGAGUGGAAUUCCUAGUGUAGCGGUGAAAUGCGUAGAUAUUAGGAGGAACACCAGUGGCGAAGGCGGCUUACUGGACGGUAACUGACGUUGAGGCUCGAAAGCGUGGGGAGCAAACAGGAUUAGAUACCCUGGUAGUCCACGCAGUAAACGAUGAUAACUCGUUGUCGGCGAUACACAGUCGGUGACUAAGCGAAAGCGAUAAGUUAUCCACCUGGGGAGUACGUUCGCAAGAAUGAAACUCAAAGGAAUUGACGGGGGCCCGCACAAGCGGAGGAACAUGUG
rnacentral:rRNA from 1 species